rnacentral:rRNA from 1 species
AUUGAACGCUGGCGGCAUGCCUUACACAUGCAAGUCGAACGGCAGCACGGGUGCUUGCACCUGGUGGCGAGUGGCGAACGGGUGAGUAAUAUAUCGGAACGUACCUUAUCGUGGGGGAUAACGCAGCGAAAGCUGCGCUAAUACCGCAUACGCCCUGAGGGGGAAAGCGGGGGACCGUAAGGCCUCGCGCGAUUAGAGCGGCCGAUAUCUGAUUAGCUUGUGGUGGGUAAAGCCACCAAGGCGACGAUCAGUAGCUGGUCUGAGAGGACGAUCAGCCACACUGGGACUGAGACACGGCCCAGACUCCUACGGGAGGCAGCAGUGGGGAAUUUUGGACAAUGGGGGCAACCCUGAUCCAGCAAUGCCGCGUGAGUGAAGAAGGCCUGG